rnacentral:lncRNA from 1 species
UUUGUUCCCAAGAGAGCUCCUUUUGAUCUCUUUGACACUAAGAAGAAGCCCAACAACAUCAAGCUCUAUGUCCGUCGUGUCUUCAUCAUGGACAACUGUGAAGACAUCAUUCCUGAGUACCUUGGGUUUGUCAAGGGUAUUGUUGACUCUGAAGAUCUUCCUCUCAACAUCUCAAGAGAAACAUUGCAGCAGAACAAGAUCCUCAAGGUCAUCCGCAAGAACCUUGUGAAGAAGUGUCUUGAGCUCUUCUUUGAGAUUGCUGAGAACAAGGAGGACUACAACAAGUUCUAUGAGGCUUUCUCUAAGAACCUGAAGCUCGGUAUCCAUGAGGACUCCCAAAACAGAACCAAGAUUGCUGAGUUGCUCCGUUACCACUCAACCAAGAGCGGUGAUGAAUUGACCAGUCUCAAGGACUACGUGACAAGGAUGAAGGAAGGUCAGAACGAUAUCUUCUAUAUCACUGGUGAGAGCAAGAAGGCUGUUGAGAACUCUCCAUUCCUUGAGAAGCUCAAGAAGAAGGGUAUUGAAGUUCUCUACAUGGUUGACGCUAUCGAUGAGUAUGCUAUUGGUCAGCUCAAGGAAUUCGAAGGAAAGAAGCUUGUCUCUGCAACCAAGGAAGGUCUGAAACUGGAUGAGACUGAAGACGAGAAGAAGAAGAAAGAAGAGCUCAAGGAGAAGUUUGAGGGACUCUGCAAAGUGAUCAAGGACGUUUUGGGAGACAAGGUUGAGAAGGUUAUCGUCUCUGACCGUGUUGUGGACUCACCCUGCUGUCUUGUAACAGGCGAGUAUGGCUGGACUGCAAACAUGGAGAGGAUCAUGAAAGCUCAAGCCUUGAGAGACAGCAGCAUGGGUGGCUACAUGUCGAGCAAGAAGACAAUGGAGAUUAACCCAGAGAACUCCAUCAUGGAUGAGCUGAGAAAGAGAGCUGAUGCAGACAAGAACGACAAGUCUGUGAAGGACCUUGUACUUCUUCUCUUUGAGACCGCUCUUCUCACUUCUGGUUUCAGCCUCGAUGAGCCCAACACUUUCGGGAGCAGGAUUCACAGGAUGUUGAAGCUUGGAUUGAGCAUUGAUGACGAUGAUGUUGUUGAAGCCGAUGCUGACAUGCCUCCACUUGAAGAUGAUGCCGAUGCUGAAGGUAGCAAGAUGGAGGAAGUUGACUAAAUUAUCACACACAGUCGACUUAAUCAUUAGGGGUGUUGAGACAUUGGUUAUCUUUUUAUCUUUUUUUUUUAUGUUUUCGUUUGAACUAAUAUUUUGGAACUAUUUUCUGGAGUUUAUUUCUUCUAUCGCUUGUUUUCGUGAAGAUUUUUUCUCUGAAUUCGGUUUGAUGACAAAGGUUCUCUUAUGCACAAUCUUGCAAAUCCAAGCUUAUUUUGGUUAUGUAGCCUAUAACUAAGUUAUUAGUAUGACUAAUAUGGCUAAUAAAAUACAUGAAGCAGCUCCAAAUCAUAUUGUUAAGCAUCUCAGACAACACAGCUUACAUAUUCUUUACAAUAAUAAAUAAUUUAUUGUUCGACAUAAUACUGUUGUUACUGUUUGACUUAGCGUUAAUUUUCUGCACAAAUGUUGUUACUACUUUGAUUAAAAAGGAUAAUUUGUGUAACAAUUUUUUGGUCAGUUUUAAAGGUUAUUAUUAUUUUUUUAAAUAACUUUUACGAUUAGAAUAUGAGUAGUGCAACGCAAAAUAACACUGCCGUUUAAGACGACGGUCCCUUGACAGAAUCUUCAUCAACGCUCGAUUUGACGUCUGCCGAUUUCCUUAGCUCCGACGUAAACCACUGAUCGUCGGUAUUCAGCUAUAUUUUGAUUUCUCAGCUCCAAAAAUUCCCAACGAAAUGGAGAAAAUGGCCAAAGGAUGGUUUCCGAUGAGCGGCACUAGUAGCAGCGGAGAUCAGCAGCAGCAACCGCUGCAAACAGGAGGAACGUCUCUGCUAGCUGAUUGGAAUUCUUACGCAGCAUCGAGAGAUUUUGAAGAAGACACCGGAACUUUAGGCUUCGAUAUCGAAUCCGCCGUUAGAUCUGCCAACGACACUGUUUCCGGCACCUUUAAUGUGUAAUCCAUCCAUCUCUUUCUCUUAAUCUUUAGGGGUUUAACGAUUGAUCGUGACCGUAUCUGAGAAAUUAGGCGUUUUCGCCUGCUAUUGAGGAUUGGAUUGGUGUAAAUUAAAUCUGGAAUCUGAGAAAUUGUGAUUAACCAUAUAGUUUAAGCUUUGCCAGAUUCGUUGAUCAGAUUUACAAAUUCUCAGGGUUUGAAGCUAUUGUUAGUGAAUGAUUUUGAUUAGUGUCUUCUCUCAAUGACUUAGAAUUGAUUAAGAGUCUUAAGCAUAUCUUUUUCUUGAAGUGUUACUAACUUUUUGAUUUUGAAUUUUGUUGUACUCAAAUCUGGAUUGUUAACAGUGUUUCGAAAGGAGUUAGAGAUAACCUGCAGUCUGCAACAAGUAGUAUGCCUUCAGGAAAAGCUUUGAUGUAUUUCGGUUUACUUCUAGCAAGUGGUGUAUUCUUCAUCUUCAUUGCCUUCACCAUGUUUCUUCCAGUCAUGGUGCUUAUGCCACAGAAGUUUGCAAUUUGUUUUACCCUUGGAUGUGGAUUUAUCAUCGGAUCUUUCUUCGCUCUUCGUGGCCCGCAAAAUCAACUCGCUCACAUGUCAUCGGCAGAGGUAAUAACUAAUAACAAAACCUUGUGUUGUGCAGCUUCUUAUAUCUGCUGUAUUUCGUUUACAUUUUUCUCUUUGGAAUUUUAAUUUCUUGUUUGCUGGCUUCUCCAGAGGCUUCCACUAACUUUAGGUUUCAUUGCCACCAUGGUUGGCACCAUAUAUGUCUCGAUGGUGCUCCAUAGCUACAUUCUCUCUGUGAUUUUCUCUGCAUUACAGGUACUUAAAUUUCAUCUUCCUUCCCGACUCUUGUUGGUGUUUAUAUCCUCUGUUUUUCAUAUGUUAAAAUUUUCCUCUUCCCCAUUUCACAAAUCUUACCUAUGAAGUUCUUUUUUACCCUGCAUGUUUCAUCUAGUAAGCUCUUGCCUCGUCGAAACAUAAUGUGUUUAGUAAAAAACAUGUAGACUUUCUUAUUGCUGUUUUAAAAUACAAGUUGGGUUAGUAUGAAUUAUGAAGAAGCCUUGAACGCCAUAUCUUUGGUUGGUCUCUUGGCUUGUUUUUGCAAAUGCACUUACUUGCGACAGAAACAGCUUUGAUAUAUUAUUACUCACCCGUUAUCGAUAUGGAAUAUAUACUUUAAGAACUCACUAAAUCAUAUCCUUCAUGUCGGUUUAAAGAUUAGUCACGUAUCUGCACAUUCUGUAAGUAUAGUAAUCUCAUAAAAAACCUGGUCUCUGUUCUCUGUGAAUCCAUAGGUUAUUGCACUGGCGUACUACUGUAUAUCAUAUUUCCCUGGUGGAUCAUCGGGAAUGAAGUUCCUCAGUUCUACUCUUACCUCCUCUGUCUUCCGAAUGUUUGGGAGAUGAGCUUUCGCUUUGACCUAUGCAAAGAAAAUAACUUGAUUCUCUCGUGUAUAAAGAAAGAUGAAAGAUCUUCAACAGUGGUUAAAUGACAAAUCUGGUAAAAUAUGUUGGUCCAAUGGCUCAAAGACAGUUUUGUUAUAAAUUUCCUAUAUUGAUACUUUCUGCUAAAUUGGUUCAAAACUUCAAAUCACUAGCCACUGGAUGAGGUAUGGAACUUGAAGAGUUGCUUGGUGGAUACAUUCUCUAAUCUAGGGUAAGUCGUUAGCUUCAAUGUCUUACUGUGAAUUAUUACAUCAGAAUUAAGAAAGUUAUUACACGUAUGUUUUCACUGAGUUUACUACACUGGCAAUGUGGCAUACAUCUCUUACUGCAAAUUGCAGACAAGUGGUCAAUCAAAUCUUUUUUAGUUGGGCCCAAAAUGUCUGUUAUUGGAUACGUUGGGCCUUAAAAUGGCCCCCAUCAGUCAAAAACAUCACUGCUUGGAGAAGGAUCUAGAAAAACUUGCAAGUUAGUUCAAACAAAAUAAAGGAAAAAGAACGAUCUAGAAGAAAGAAAAAAAAAGGAAAAGAAACCCUUAUGGAGGUUCCCACACCACUCUAUAUAUAAUAACAUCCUUCUCCUAAAUCCCGCAUCAGUACUUCUCUCUGCUCUCAAGAUAAUUUUGUUCUCUCAAUUUCAUUCUUAAACCCUAGUUCUUCGAUUUUUUCCGAUCUACGACAAUGGCGGACGCUGAAACCUUUGCUUUCCAAGCUGAGAUCAACCAGUUGCUUUCCCUCAUCAUCAAUACCUUUUACUCUAACAAGGAGAUCUUCCUCCGUGAACUCAUCAGUAACUCUUCUGAUGUACGAUCUCUAUCUCUCUCUACCUUAUUGUAUACUUGUGUAUCUCGUUUGAUUGAUUUGGCGGAUGGAUCUGUAGAUUUAGGUUUGGUUAGGGUUUAGUGUUCUUUCCGUUGGGAGAAUUUUGGUUACUUACUGAAGUUGCGAAGCUUUUUGUGUACAAAUCUAUUGUUUAGGUUUAGUGUUGAUACCAAGGAUUUAAGUAGUUUCUUGUUAGAUUACCAAGUUUUCGAUUGCUUAUAGUUGAUUUGCAUACAUAUUAUGUGUAUUGUUUGCUUACGAUUGUGAUUCUAUUCUGGUGAAAACAGGCUUUGGACAAGAUUAGAUUCGAGUCCUUGACGGACAAGAGCAAGCUCGAUGGUCAGCCUGAGCUCUUCAUUCACAUCAUUCCCGACAAGACUAACAACACCUUGACCAUUAUUGAUAGUGGUAUUGGCAUGACCAAGGCUGGUACGUAAUUGAUUUCAUCCUAAAUCAAUUUGUUUCGAUUUUGUUGUUGUUUGUUAGUCUUGCAUCUGUGUUUGUUUUGUUGGCUAAUUCGUGCUUCUUCUAUUAGAUUUGGUCAACAACCUUGGAACAAUUGCAAGAUCUGGAACCAAGGAAUUCAUGGAAGCACUGGCUGCUGGAGCUGAUGUUAGCAUGAUUGGUCAGUUUGGUGUUGGUUUCUACUCUGCUUACUUGGUUGCUGACAAGGUUGUUGUUACUACCAAGCACAAUGACGAUGAGCAGUACGUGUGGGAGUCUCAGGCCGGGGGAUCUUUCACUGUGACCAGAGACACCUCUGGGGAGACUCUUGGUAGAGGAACAAAGAUGGUUCUUUACCUCAAGGAAGACCAGUUGGAGUACCUUGAGGAGCGAAGGCUUAAGGAUUUGGUGAAGAAGCACUCUGAGUUCAUCAGCUACCCAAUCUCUCUCUGGAUUGAGAAGACCAUUGAGAAGGAGAUCUCUGAUGAUGAAGAGGAGGAAGAGAAGAAGGAUGAGGAAGGCAAGGUUGAGGAAGUUGAUGAGGAGAAAGAAAAGGAGGAGAAGAAAAAGAAGAAGAUUAAGGAGGUUUCUCAUGAGUGGGAUUUGGUGAACAAGCAGAAGCCUAUCUGGAUGAGGAAGCCAGAGGAGAUCAACAAGGAGGAGUACGCUGCUUUCUACAAGAGUCUCAGCAAUGAUUGGGAGGAGCAUUUGGCUGUGAAGCAUUUCUCUGUUGAAGGACAGCUUGAGUUCAAAGCUAUCCUCUUUGUUCCCAAGAGAGCUCCUUUUGAUCUCUUUGACACUAAGAAGAAGCCCAACAACAUCAAGCUCUAUGUCCGUCGUGUCUUCAUCAUGGACAACUGUGAAGACAUCAUCCCUGAGUACCUCGGAUUUGUGAAAGGUAUUGUCGACUCUGAAGAUCUUCCUCUCAACAUCUCGAGAGAGACAUUGCAGCAGAACAAGAUCCUCAAGGUCAUCCGCAAGAAC